rnacentral:lncRNA from 1 species
AAGAUACACAUAGAAGAAUCGAAUCCUAUUCUCAGGUGCUAAAGAAGCAUUCCUGUAGAAACAGGAUUCUCUUCUACCUCUUGUCAGCCGUAAGAGGGCCACCUGUGAGGUUACUCUCUAUGCAUCUCACUGCAAGAAACCAAAAAAAAAUUCCACUCAGAGCAGUGGAGUUAAAUCUCACACGCUUGUUUUCCUAUUUUGAAAUUUGCUAGUACUCCUUACAGAAUUUAGCUUAAGAAAUUCAAUCUGAAUACACUGCUUUAGCCAGCUUUUCCAAAUCUAGAUCUCCUUAGAAUCCACAGCAUUGACUGCUUUGGGACAUUCCAGGCUUCUAAGGACAAAAAACACCCACGCACUUUUUUGACCUCCCUGGACUCUAAAAUUACAGUACUUGCCAGCAUCUACGGCCAGAACAUUUCUAAAAAUACUGGGUAUUUUCAGAAAAACCUUUUUUUCCAAUUAAAAAUAGUUUAAUUGUACUUAUUAAGUGGUGCUUGUUUUGUCUUUAUCUCAUCCUUUCUUCAUUUGUAUUUGUGUAAAUGCGUUAUAAUAUGCUUAUCAGUACAACAAUACAGUUAUACAAAUAAAAACAGGGGAAAAAACAUAUUGGGAGGGGGGGAGGCUGGUCAACUUCUGGGGGUUUUAUUUACAUGGACCCAAGGCAGUGGGGACACCACUGCUCCAGCAGGCAAAGCCUCCCCUGCUGGGCCUCCGCCACCCAGCUCUCCCCACAGCCCCUCUGAGGUUCCCCCCUCCUGCCUUCCCCCCAGGCCCCCUGCCCUCAGUGCGGGCAUUUCAGAGGGCUUCACUGAGCGCUGCCUCCCGAAGCACGUGGCUGCGGCUGUAAGGGGAGGGAUUUUUCGGUUGUUUGUUUUUUAUUCUCCACCCCCAGCUCUCCCGAGGGCCGCUCCGGCGCAGCCCCCAGCCGGCCCCACACACACACGGGCAGCGCGGGGACGAGGCCCGCCGGGGGAGGCCGGUCCCGGGGCUGCCCGUGCCGCUGCUGCCCAGCUGAGCCCCUCCGGCGGCGGGCAGGGCGAGGAGGAGGAGGAGGAGGAGAGGAAGGCCGCUGCCCUCCCUACUGACCUGCCGGCGGCAGCGCCCCGGGCCGGCCGCGCCGCGAGCCCUCAGCCCCCUCGGCCGCCGCCAGCUCCCUCACAGGACCGCAUCACCGCGGCCCGAGCGCGCUCGGAUCCCUCCGCACCUCACCUCAGAGCGGCCCAUUCCCCAAAGCCACCCCUAAAAGAGCCGCAGCCGGCCCAGGAGCGCUCCCGCUGCCCGCACCUCGUCCUCCCGCCGCGGCCCUUCCCUUCGCCCCCAGCUCGGGGCCGAACCUCCCCCACCGCGCCGGGACUACUUUUCUCACGCAGGCGGAAGCACACAGCUUCACUGCGCGCGCAUCCUCGCCGUGCGAUUUUAAAGGCUCGUGCGGCGCGCCGAGCGCGGGGCACGCUGGGACUUGUAGUCCUCCCCGGGGGCCUCCGCCGGCGGGCCGGGGGUACCUCGCGGCGGCGCCCCGCCCCCUCGCCCCUCCGCAGCCAAUCGGCGCCCGCCCUGUGCGGAGAGGCUCCGCCCCCCCGGGCCGCGGUGGGCGGGGCCGUGCCGCGGCC